ACUGAGUUACGAAGGCAGAAAAGUGUCACGUGCUUGUGAAAUUAUGAUCAACACAGACACAUCUACCCAAAAGGAAAACGUAAGAUUGAAUAAAGACAACUGAUGCUCAAGCCAUUACUAUGGAGAUUUAACAACCAAGCGUGAACAGCAAAGUGGCCUCUUCCAUGUCUUGGCAAUCCUUAGAGGAAGGAGAAAUAAAGGAACUGCUUCAAGAGUUCAGAGGAUGCUGUCAAAGGUACAAAUGAAGAAAAUGAAUUCCCUCCACCCGAUGGAUCCUAGAGACCUGCGUACCUGGAUGUGGUUCCUCCAGUGGCGGCCUUGAAGCAGGUGCCCCAAAGCGAGCCACGGAGAUUUCACGGAGGGCCGUGAGGGGAGCGGGCAGAGGGUGGGUCUAUCACACAGCCAACAGUAAACCGCUUAGCCAAUAACCCUUUAAGGUUUCUGACCCUUUAGGCCUCCUCCCCUGGUCUUCCUCUCAACCCCGUCCUCAAGCCGUGCCUGGACCUCCCCUGCGUUUAUGCAACGUGAUUCAGCUCUGCCUAGCUGUGCCCAUCCAAGGGCUCCGCCUCUCCACUCACUUACUGAAGCCUUGUCUUGACAAAAGUGGGUCUUUCCUAGGAGCUUCUUCCACUGCCGAGGAAACCAUGGUCCUUUUCUGUACAUGCGUCUCCUGCUGGGCUAAUAUUUGCCACCUUUGACUCACCAAUCAGACUUUCCUCUGUAAGAAGUGCGGGAAGAGAAAACGAGACACACGACCCAGCUCCACCUGGACGUGAAGGGGUGCCUCGCUGGCCAGGCUGGGGUGGGAGGUGCUCAGGCAGGAAGCACGGCGACCCUUCUGGAAGCUGAACAACUAGGCUGAAUAAGGAAGCAGCGUAUCAAGAGGGGUCCAGCCAGGGAAAGGAGAGGGGAGGUUGGCCUUGGAUCUGAGGAGGGAAGAGCAAGUGUAAAGAUCCUGCGGCGGCUGCGGCUGCAGUAAACGUGAGAGGAGGAGAGUUAGCACAGGGGCAGCAGAGGAGGGAUGAGGCAAAGGUUAGGGAGGGGUGCCGGUCAGACAGAAUGAUGUGGGGACUCGGAAAGACUAGGUUAUUCAUGACUAGCAUUAGCAUCGUUUUGUUAUAUUAUCUAUCUUACCCAUAAUUUUUACAAAUUGCACAUUUUAUAUAUAUCCUGCCCAAUCUCUGAUAGCAGGGUUUGGAGAGAUUAUCAUUUUCUACUACAUUAUAUAUUUCCAUAAUGUUUGAUUUUGUAUAUUUUGGUAUUGUUAACAAUUAGAUAAAUGGUAUUUUAAAAAUAUAAGAAAAAAAUAAUGCUGAGAGGAAUAAAGGGUAGAAGAACAAGAGCCAGUGAAAGAACUGGUGAAAGAGCAUCCAAGGUAAGAAAACAGUCAGCAUAGGGUUCUAGAAGCCAAGAGUUUAAAAAGGAAGAGGUAGCCUUCAGGUGCAACAGAAUGAAAGCUGAGAAGAGGCAACUUUGGGACAAUUAGAAGGGCAUUGGUGACCCAGAAAAAAUAAUUUCUGUUCAUUUACAGAAGCUAGACACAGUAAAUGAGACCCAAAUAAGUGGAAAAAAGGUAAAGGCAGAUUUAGAGUACAUUUUUCAAGGCCUUAGUGAGAACGAGAAUCUCUGGGAUAUAACAAUUUUUUAAACUGUAAAAUCAUCAAAUAAACCAU